rnacentral:tRNA from 1 species
CCUGGAGUGGUUCAGCGGUAGAACACCCGGCUCGUGACCGGGAAGGCGCGAGUUCGAAUCUCGCCUCCAGGUC